UAUAUAUAUAUAUAUAUAUAUAUAUAUAUAUAUAUAUAUAUAUAUAUAUAUAUAUAUAUAUAUAUAUAUAUAUAUAUAUACAAACACGCGCGCAUAUAUACGCUGUGAGCAAGCUGAGAGAGAAGGAAGAAGGGGAGUGGAAGAGUGUGAGCAAAAGAUGAGCGGUUGGUGGGGCGCGCAGGACUGGAAAAGCCUUUUGCCUUGGAGAGGAGGAGGAGGAGGUGGUGGUGGAUGGAGGUUGAGGAAAGAGGUGAAGGUUUUGUGUGGUUAAGCGAUUGCUUAGGGGUGAGCAAGCAAUGAGAUGAGUCAAUUCACAAAGGAGUAUUUGUUUAAAGAUGAUGCCGACGAUGAGUGUGUGCACUAGCUAGGAAAAGGAAGGGGACGAAAGAGGUGGUCGGUCGAUGGGUCACAUGGAUUUGUUUUUCCUGGCAAGCUUUGGGGCUUUAUUUGGCGGCCGGAUCUCGGCGACUGACGACUCAGCUGUUUGUGUUGCCUCCCAUGCUAAGUACUAUACGGGUGCAAAUAAAGGCCAUCCGACCCGGAUCCGAAGGCUUACAAAUCCUCAAUAACAUCACACGCGUCGUACUCGUACCAGCGUGACGCGAUUGGAUUUGCUUGAGGACGACCAAUAACUUGAGAGCGUGAGAUCGAUUACGAUAAAGUGUAAUACACAAAGGCGAGCCAUUAGGGCACGCACUCAAUCCAUCUCCCCAACUUGCAACACGCAAAUCAAUAAUUAAUUGAGGAGCCACCAACCUGUGGACCUAGAGGUGGCCACUGCUGGCCAUAGCCCAUAGCCCAUAGCUGCUGAUAGCAAAUCCGACAGCGAGGGAAUGAUGAUAAAGAGGAUGAUGGAGGAGGAAGAAGAAUCUAACAGGCAACAAUCACCACACGGAAUCUCAUCAGGGUUAUUAGAAAAUUUUGACAAGACGUCCAGCUUGCUCAUCACAACACACAUCUAAUGGCCACGACCCUGAUCGAGCUGGACUCC
rnacentral:lncRNA from 1 species